rnacentral:rRNA from 1 species
CAGCCGCCGCGGUAAUACGUAGGGUGCGAGCGUUAAUCGGAUUUACUGGGCGUAAAUCGUGCGCAGGCGGCCCGUUAAGACAGGUGUGAAAUCCCUGGGCUCAACCUAGGAAUUGCGCUUGUGACUGGCGGGCUCGAGUACGGUAGAGGGGGGUGGAAUUCCUGGUGUAGCAGUGAAAUGCGUAGAGAUCAGGAGCAACACCGAUGGCGAAGGCAGCCCCCUGGGCCUGUACUGACGCUCAUGCACGAAAGCGUGGGGAGCAAACAGGAUUAGAUACCCUGGUAGUCCACGCCCUAAACGAUGGGUACUAGCCGUUUGGUGCGCGAUAGCGCUGAGUGGCGAAGCUAACGCGUGAAGUACCCCGCCUGGGGAGUACGGCCGCAAGGUUGAAACUUAAAGGAAUUGGCGGG